rnacentral:lncRNA from 1 species
UUUUGCAUCAGGCAGAUAAUAAAAUAAAUAAUGAUAAUGGUAACAGACACAAUAACAGCAAUAACAUAAUAUCAAACAGACAAGUUACUUUAUCUUUGGGUUUCUUCAAACACUCUUUGGAAUAGUCUUUUAAACUGCUUAACAUUUAGUAUGAAAACUGGCUAGAAGGCCUCUCUGGCCAAAGACGCUGUCUUCCCCACAGUCUACAUUUUAUUUCCACCACUCAUAACAUAUAACUAGAAACUUUCUUCAUAUCCCACAUUGGCCAAAUAUAGUAUGAUAAAGUCUGAGCAGAGAGAAGAUUCAUUCAUAAACAAUGAAUAAGCACAGAAGGUUCUGCAGAGCUAAACUUCAGCUACUCGCCAUUUCUGAUUGCCUUUUGUGGCCAGGGUAACCAUCACUGGCUUCCUGGUCUCUUACUUAACUCUGCAAAACAGAAGAACGUUAUGUAGAAUCAAGAAGUAUACAACAGACUGAAGAAUACAGAUUAAAAACUGGCUUUUAAUGCUAUGCAUAAACUUUCAUAAAAGGAUUUUUAUUAUAUCAUUCUAAGUAAAAUUCUGUGUUGAUGAACGGUAACUCUAAUAAUACCUAUAACUUACAAUGGGCCAGGCACGAAUUUAGCCACUUUACAGCAACUCUAUGAAGUGGAUGCUAUCAUUAUCCCCACUUUGUAGAGGAGGAAAUAGAGGCCUAGAGAGAUUAACCUGCCCAAGUUUACACAGCCAGCAGGUGGCAAAGCCAGGAUUUAAACCCACAGAAUUAAUACAUACUAUGUAGGUAAGACUGUGUAAGUUAGUCUUAUUUUAGCCAUUAACGAAACCAUUCCAAUUCUCCAAGGAAAAUUCAACAACUUUUAUAAAACCCAAUUAAAGGGCUAUGGCCAGCAGGAAUUACAAUGUCAAUGCUAAACGUGAUAAGAGGUGACAUGCUGAAACCCUAAAUUAAUGGAAAAGCUACUCCAUCUCCUUACUCUGUUUUUCAGUCUUUGUAUUCUUUCUCUUUUAUCUUUUAUUUCUCAUAACUCUCUCCUUUUUCCUUAAGACCCUGUGGAAUAUAGAGAAAUGGUUGACUAGGAAAUUGAACAGAACAUCACAACACUGGACUCACGAGUCAGAAAAGUUUUAUGUUUGAGGAUGGCUUGGUCCCUAUAAGCCAUGUGACUCUGGCUUGGAAAAAAACACAUAAAUUAUUUGAAUCAAAACUCCUCCUCUGAAAAAUGAGAGAUCUGAACCACAUGAUUUCUAAUUGCCCUCUUCACUCUAAAGCAGUAUGCUUUAGCACUUUAAAAUACUGGAUUUUUAAAAUGAAGAAAAAAUGCUGUGACCUAUUCUUAUUUAAGAGGUAAUUUGGUCUUAUGUAACCUGUUUGUUUUUAGCUUGUCAUUUUGAAUGGCCCUUAAUUGCUUUCUUUAAGAACUAUAGGCUAGUGGCCCUCAACAGAAUAAAGGGUUGACCACUCUAUGCAAUACCAUCCAGAACAUCACAAUUUAGUCUGUUCAUCCAGGUACUUUUCAUCUUGUCACGGGAAUGACGGUGAAGACCCAGAGGUCACAGAGGUCACUAAUCUAUUGAUGCUGGCUACCUACUGCAGAGGGGUGACAGCAGGGGGGUGAGAAUCAGGCAAUUCCUGCAUAAGGGGCCUGCUCACUCCAGGGAGGUUUUCCAGUGAAGUCUACCAGGACUGUGUCCAUCAGGCUGUCAUGCUAGCUGGUUCCGUUCACUCUUUGGGCAGCAACUGAACUUCUCCCAGCCUCAUUCUCAUCGCUGUUUUAAUAAAAAUGAAGCUGCUGAUACGGAAGUGCUGGGAAGGGAAUAGCAUGUUCCCUUUAAAUGAUAUGAAGCAGGGAAGGGAAGAGCUGGGUAGAGGAGGGAGUGGUCCCUGGCUAGGGCUCCACCCCCACGGAUCAAGAUGAGGACAGGCACUCCUGCCUUUGUGUCCAGAUGCUGCAUUUCCAAAGACAACCCUGGCCCAUGACGCCCCCAUCCUGUGGCUAUAAAGACCCGAGGCCCUCUAGAUUUUCUAGUUUAUUUGCGUAGAGGUGUUUAUAGUAUUCUGAUGAUAGUUUGUGUUUCUGUGGGAUCGGUGGUGAUAUCCCCUUUAUCAUUUUUUACUGCAUCUAUUUGAUUCUUCCCUUUUCUUCUUUAUUAGUCUUGCUAGUGAUCUAUCCAUUUUGUUGAUCUUUUCAAAAAACCAGCUCUUGGAUUCAUUGAUUUUUUGAAGGGUUUUUUGUGUCUCUAUCUCCUUCAGAUCUUCUCUGAUCUUAGUUAUUUCUUGCCUUCUGCUAGCUUUUGAAUGUGUUUGCUCUUGCUUCUCUAGUUCUUCUGAUUGUGAUGUUAGGGUGUCAAUUUUAGAUCUUUCCUGCUUUCUCUUGUGGGCAUUUAUUUAGUGCUAUAAGUUUCCCUCUACACACCGCUUUAAAUGUGUCCCAGAGAUUCUGGUAUGUUGUGUCUUUGUUCUCAUUGGUUUCAAAGAACAUUUUAAUUUCUGCCUUCAUUUCGUUAUAAACCCAGUAGUCAUUCAGGAGCAGGAUGUUCAGUUUCCAUGUAGUUGAGCUGUUUUGAGUGAGUUUCUUAAUCCUGAGUUCUAGUUUGAUUGCACUGUGGUCUGAGAGACAGUUUGUCACAAUUUCUGUUGUUUUACAUUUGCUGAGGAGUGCUUUACUUCCAACUAUGUGGUCAAUUUUGGAAUAAGUGCAAGGUGGUGCUGAGAAGAAUGUAUAUUCUGUUGAUUUUGGGUGAAGAGUUCUGUAGAUGUCUAUUAGGUCCCACUUGGUGCAGAGUUCAAUUCCUGGAUAUCCUUGUUAACUUUCUGUCUCGAUCUGUCUAAUGUUGACAGUCGGGUGAUAAAGUCUCCCAUUAUUAUUGUGUGGGAGUCUAAGUCUCUUUGUAGGUCUCUAAGGACUUGCUUUAUGAAUCUGGGUGCUCCUGUAUUGGGUGCAUAUAUAUUUAAGAUAGUUAGCUCUUCUUGUUAAAUUGAUCCCUUUACCAUUAUGUAAUGGCCUUCUUUGUCUCUUUUGAUCUUUGUUGGUUUAAAGUCUGUUUUAUCAGAGACUAGGAUUGCAACCCCUGCCUUUUUUUGUUUUCCAUUUGCUUGGUAGAUCUUCCUCCAUCCUUUUAUUUUGAGCCUAUGUGUGUCUCUGCACAUGAGAUGGGUCUCCUGAAUAUAGCACACUGAUGGGUCUUGACUCUAUCAAAUUUGCCAGUCUGUGUCUUUUAAUUGGAGCAUUUAGCCCAUUUACAUUUAAGGUUAAUAUUGUUAUGUGUAAAUCUGAUCCUGUCAUUAUGAUGUUAGCUGGUUAUUUUGCUUGUUAGUUCAUGCAAUUUCUUCCUAGCAUCAAUGGUCUGUACAAUUUGGCAUGUUUUUGCAGUGGCUGGUACCAAUUAUUCCUUUCCAUGUUUAGUGCUUCCUUCAGGAGCUCUUGUAGGGCAGGCCUGGUGGUGACAAAAUCUCUCAGCAUUUGCUUGUCUGUAAAGGAUUUUAUUUCUCCUUCACUUAUGAAGCUUAGUUUGGCUGGAUAUGAAAUUCUGGGUUGAAAAUUCUUUUCUUUAAGAAUGUUGAAUAUUGGCCCCCACUUUCUACUGGCUUGUAGAGUUUCUGCAGAGAGCCACUGUUAGUCUGAUGGGCUUCCCUUUGUGGGUAACCUGACCUUUCUAUCUGGCUGCCCUUAACACUUUUUCCUUCAUUUCAACUUUGGUGAAUCUGACAAUUAUGUGUCUUGGAGUUGCUCUUCUCGAGGAGUAUCUUUGUGGCGUUCUCUGUAUUUCCUGAAUAUGAAUGUUGGCCUGCCUUGCUAGGUUGGGGAAGUUCUCCAGGAUAAUAUCCUGAAGAGUGUUUUCCAACUUGGUUCCAUUCUCCCCGUCACUUUCAGGUACACCAAUCAGACGUAGAUUUGGUCUUUUCACAUAGUCCCAUAUUUCUUGGAGGCUUUGUUCAUUUUUUUUUACUCUUUUUUCUCUAAACUUCUCUUCUCCCAAGACUAAACCAGGAAGAAGUUGAAUCCCUGAAUAGACCAAUAACAGGCUCUGAAAUUGAGGCAAUAAUUAAUAGCCUACCACCAAG